UACGUAGGGUGCGAGCGUUAAUCGGAAUUACUGGGCGUAAAGCGUGCGCAGGCGGUUAUGUAAGACAGAUGUGAAAUCCCCGGGCUCAACCUGGGAACUGGAUUUGGGACUGCAUGGCUAGAGUACGGUAGAGGGGGAUGGAAUUCCGCGUGUAGCAGUGAAAUGCGUAGAUAUGCGGAGGAACACCGAUGGCGAAGGCAAUCCCCUGGACCUGUACUGACGCUCAUGCACGAAAGCGUGGGGAGCAAACAGGAUUAGAUACCCUGGUAGUCCACGCCCUAAACGAUGUCAACUGGUUGUUGGGCAUUAGUUUUCUCAGUCCCGAAGCUAACGCGUGAAGUUGACCGCCUGGGGAGUACGGCCGCAAGGUUGAA
rnacentral:rRNA from 1 species